rnacentral:rRNA from 1 species
AUACGGAGGAUGCGAGCGUUAUCCGGAUUUAUUGGGUUUAAAGGGAGCGUAGGUGGGAUAUUAAGUCAGCUGUGAAAGUUUGGGGCUCAACCUUAAAAUUGCAGUUGAUACUGGUUUCCUUGAGUACGGUACAGGUGGGCGGAAUUCGGGGUGGAGCGGUGAAAUGCUUAGAUAUCACGAAGAACUCCGAUCGCGAAGGCAGCUCACCGGGCCGGAACUGACACUGAUGCUCGAAAGUGCGGGUAUCAAACAGGAUUAGAUACCCUGGUAGUCCGCACAGUAAACGAUGAAUACUCGCUGUUUGCGAUACACUGUAAGCGGCCAAGCGAAAGCGUUAAGUAUUCCACCUGGGGAGUACGCCGGCAACGGUGAAACUCAAAGGAAUUGACGGGG